AUUGAACGCUGGCGGCGGGCCUAACACAUGCAAGUUGAACGUGGGGCGGACGGGUGCGUAAUGUCUGGGAAACGGCCUGAUGGAGGGGGAUAACUACUGGAAACGGUAGCUAAUACCGCAUAUCAGCGGGUUGGCCCAGAUGGGAUUAGCUAGUAGGUGGGGUAAAGGCUAACCUAGGCGACGAUCCCUAGCUGGACUGAUAGGAUGACCAGCCACACUGGAACUGAGACACUGUCCAGACUCCUACGGAAGGCAGCAGUGGGGAAUAUGGCACAAUGGGCGCAAGCGUGAUGAAGGCAUGCCGCGUGUAUGAAGAAGGCCUUCGGGUUGUAAAGUACUUUCAGCGGGGAGGCGUUACCCGCAGAAGAAGCACCGGCUAACUCCGUGCCAGCAGCCGCGGUAAUAC
rnacentral:rRNA from 1 species